rnacentral:rRNA from 1 species
GAUGAACGCUGACAGAAUGCUUAACACAUGCAAGUCGAUGGGGAAGUGGUGCUUGCACCAUGGUAACCAUGGCGGACGGGUGAGUAACGCGUAAGGAACUUACCUGCGGGACCGGGAUAACAGCAGGAAACUGCUGACAAGACCGGAUAAGGUCAUUAAGCUGCAUAGCUUAGUGAUGAAAGGAGACGCCUGCGGAGAGCCUUGCGUCCUAUUAGCUAGUUGGAGGGGUAACGGCCCACCAAGGCGAAGAUAGGUAGCCGGCCUGAGAGGGUGGACGGCCACAAGGGGACUGAGAUACGGCCCUUACUCCUACGGGAGGCAGCAGUGAGGAAUAUUGGACAAUGGGGGCAACCCUGAUCCAGCAAUUCUGUGUGCACGAAGACGGUUUUCGGAUUGUAAAGUGCUUUCAGCAGGGAAGAAGGAAGUGACGGUACCUGCAGAAGAAGCGACGGCUAAAUACGUG